AAAGAAGAAUGAAAACAAGGAAAUGAGAACAAACCAGUAACGUGAAAACGCUUCUUCCUGAAAAUCACAUUUUCAAAAUCUCUUUUCCUUACUUACUCGCCUUCAUCAUCUUCACGUACUCAAUGUUAAUGGCAUUUCUGAAAGGCGGGCAUUUGUGUGACUAACGAUGCUUGAUUGAUGCUCUGUUUGCGGUUUGUGAAUUGAUUAACGUAUUUGACGUUCGAUAACUUGCACACCAAGUGUUCGGUAGAAUGCUUGAACUUAAUUCAUUCACGUUUUUGCCUAGCAAUCUCUUGGUUUCAGAUGAUGAUCAUGGAGAUAUUAGUGGUUAUGAAGUUUUUUUUUGAGUUGAAGAUUAUGGAAGAUAUGAUGGUUAAGGAAGUUUGGAAAAGAAGAGGUAUAAGGUGGAUUCUUGGAGAUGAAUGCUUUAUGGUGAAUUGUUGAUUAAGGAGAAAAUGAAGAUUGGAAAAGAAGAUGAAUAAUGGUAAAAGGGAUAGAAAUGGUGGAGAUUAAUAUGGUGAAGGAUGAAGAACUUUGGAUUAUGGAAGAAUGAAGAAGAUUGGUGAAGUGUGGAGUUUGUUAUGAGAUAAAAUUGGGAUUUUGGUGUUUUUCUGUAAAAAAUAAUGUUUAACCCCCAUGAUGAGAAUGAUGAAGUUUUUGUAAUGAUGAAAAUGUAGGAAAAGUUAGUUAGGCUUACUUGAAUUAGAACUCUGGGAUACUGAUCCUUGUCAUGGGUUUAAGAGUGGCCAAGAUUGAAUCACGUUAGUUUGGAGGGAUUAAGAUAGUUAUGGAUAGUUAAGAUAGUUAGAAAUGAAAUGCUAAUGAAAUUUAAAUUGUGUUUGUUUGAAAUGAAAAUGAAUUUCAUUUGGUUUA